rnacentral:rRNA from 1 species
AGUGAACGCUGGCGGUAGGCCUAACACAUGCAAGUCGAACGGCAGCACAGUAAGAGCUUGCUCUUACGGGUGGGGAGUGGCGUACGGGUGAGGAAUACAUCGUAAUCUACUUUUUCGUGUGGGAUAACGUAGGGAAACUUACGCUAAUACCGCAUACGACCUACGGUUGAAAGCAGAGGAUCUUCUGAGCUGGCGCGUGUGAAUGGGCCGAUGUCUUAUCAGCUAGUUGGUGGGGUAGUGGCCUACCAAGGGUAUGAUCGGUAGCCGGCCUGAGAGGGUGAACGGCCACAGUGGGACUGAGAGACGGCCCAGACGGCUACGGGAGGCAGCAGUGGGGAAUUUUGCACAAUGGGCGGAAGCCUGAUGCAGCAACGCCGCGUGCGGGAUGACGGCCGUCGGGGUGUAAACCGCUUUCGCCGGUGACGAAGCGUGAGUGACGGUAAUGGGUAAAGAAGCACCGGCUAACUACGUG